CAAUAGCGUAUAUUUAAGUUGUUGCAGUUAAAAAGCUCGUAGUUGGAUUUCGGUUGAGAGCGGCCGGUCCGCCGUUUGGUGUGCACUGGUCGUGCCUAUCUUGCUGCCGGGGACGCGCUCCUGGCCUUAAUUGGCUGGGACGCGGAGUCGGCGAUGUUACUUUGAAAAAAUUAGAGUGUUCAAAGCAGGCCUAAGCUCUGAAUACAUUAGCAUGGAAUAACGCUAUAGGACUCUGGUCUUAUUGCGUUGGUCUUCGAGACCGGAGUAAUGAUUAAGAGGGACAGUUGGGGGCAUUCGUAUUUCAUUGUCAGAGGUGAAAUUCUUGGAUUUAUGAAAGACGAACUUCUGCGAAAGCAUUUGCCAAGGAUGUUUUCAUUAA
rnacentral:rRNA from 1 species